ensembl:lncRNA
UGCAGACAUUAUUUUUACCAAAUUGGCUUAUCAACAUUAGACUGCAAUUUAGUUUAGGUAAAGACACUGCAAACAACGUCCGGAGGGCAUGUUUGAUUGAAACAGCAGUUCAGAAUACUUUGAUGAUGUAUUCACUCUGUAGCCUACAGUAUAGAAAUGUCACACUGUAAACCAGAGCUAUAUCCGCUAUAGACAAAAAGCUUUAUUUGUGUUUUUCCCAUUUUUCCCCAUAGCUUUCCUUUGCCAAAACAAGAACAUUUCAUAUGAAAUCCAAACAUGUUUUAUCCACAUUAAAACCAACUAAAAAUAAAUUGAUCUGAUAACCACACCAUGUUCUUCACCUUAAAAAAAAGCAUUACAGGACUACAAGUACCAGAAUGCAUUGUGAUACAAGCAGGAAAACAACAACAACAAUAGCAAACGGCUGAUUCUCUGUUUGGCUGCAGAGACUGGUACCCUCGUCGCUCUAAUAUUUCAAGGGUCUACAAUAUAAUUUCAUUUCACAUAUGAAUAACUUCUGCUGCCUCUUUGAAAAGUAAAGUAAGAAAUAACAUGGAAUAAAGUCAAAUAUAAAAGUUGUAUUUAGCUCACUUUUCUCUGAAAUGUAGUUUAUUUCUGCGUUCAUUCGGAUGUUCUCGGCCAGCUCUCUGUAAAUGGUCGGUCAUGACCGGGGAGAGGAGUGUUCUAUCACAAAGCCACAACAUUACUCUCAUACACUUCAGUCCCCCAGUCUUUUUAGUGAAACGGAAAAGUCCAUUUUGAAAAGCGGAAGUGCAUCUGAGAUUCCAAACUCCAAACUGGAGGUCUGGCUCCCUUUCCAUCCCCUUUAAGUGUACAUGGAGGUCUGGCUCCCUUUCCAUCCCCUUUAAGUGUACAUGGAGGUCUGGCUCCCUUUCCGUCCCCUUUAAGUGUACAUGGAGGUCUGGCUCCCUUUCCAUCACCUUUAAGUGUACAUGGAGGUCUGGCUCCCUUAGUGUUGCACAAUACAUGGGGAUCUCACAUUGUCCAUUCCCCUCGUGAUGACAGACCCUCAGUCUCCACAAUGACCCAGCGGUCAACAGCCUUAGUACUGGGACUCAGACAAGAGGACCUGACAUAGCAAUGGGCAUGUGUCAUACAGCGAAAACCUCACAUUUCAGAGCAUGAGAGACAGAGAGAGAGAGGGGGCAGAGAAUGAGACAGAGAGAGAGGGUAGAGCGAAUGAGAGAGAGUGAGAUAGAAGGGGUUAGAGAGAAUGAGAGAAAGAGAGGGAGAGAGAUGAGGGUAGAGAAAGAGAGAGAGAGAGAGAACGAGAGAGGGAGAGAGAGAAAGAGAAGAGGGGUAGAGAGAGAGAGAGAGAGAGAGAGAGAGAGAAGAGGGAGGGGUAGAGAAAGAGAUGAGGGGUAAAGAGAGAGAGAGGGGUAGAGAGAGAGAAAGAGAGAGAUGAGGGGUAGAGAGAAGGGGGGUAGAGUGAGAGAGAAAAUGGGUAGAGAGAAAGAGAGAGGAGGGGUAGAGAGGGGUAGAGAGAGAGAGGUAGAGAGAGAGAGAGGGGUAGAGAGAGAGAGAAGAUGGGUAGAGAGAGAAAGAGAGAGGAGGGGUAGAGAGGGGUAGAGAGGGGUAGAGAGAGGGGUAGAGAGAGAGAAAGAGAGAGAGAGAGAGGGGUAGAGAGAGAGAGGGGUAGAGAGAGAGUGAGAGAAGAGGGGUAGAGAGCGAGAGGGGUAGAGAGAGAGAGGUAGAGAGCGAGAGGGGUAGAGAGAGAGAAAGAGAGAGAGAAGAGGGGUAGAGAGAGAGAGAAGAUGGGUUGAGAGAGAAAGAGAGAGGAGGGGUAAAGAGAUGAGGGGGAGUAGAGAGAGAGAAGAGGGGUAAAGUACCGCAGCAUGAGAUGGAGAGACUCAUAUUGAAUUCAGCACCAGUGGAAAAAGGCAAUUUUUGAAAAGGUUCAUUUGUUUGUUUUUACAUAACAUUUUUUUUGUAUGACAAAAAGAUCCUCUUUUUAAAAAAUCUACACUGCCAUGUCUGUGAUGGGACCCCCAUAGCAUGUUUCAGAGGGUCUACACAGAGGUCUAUGGCUGCUUACGACCUUGUUGGAGAGCCACGACAGCGCCGUCCCACCCCCCUGUUCUCCCGGUAUAAAAGUUAAACAAGUGUCUUUGGCAGAUUUACAGAAAAGGUCCUCAUCUACUCUGGGACGCUACUGCUAGAAAUUACAAAGAUGUUAGAAACUGGUCAGAGACACACAAGAAGAGAGAGAGAGAGAGAGAGAGAGAGACUGGUCAGUCAGACACACAAGAGAGAGAGAGAGAGAGAGAGAGAGAGACUGGUCAGAGACACACAAGAAGAGAGAGAGAGAGAGAGAGAGAGAGACUGGUCAGAGACACACAAGAAGAGAGAGAGAGAGAGACUGGUCAGAGACACACAAGAAGAGAGAGAGAGAGAGAGAGAGAGACUGGUCAGAGACACACAAGAAGAGAGAGAGAGAGAGACUGGUCAGAGACACACAAGAAGAGAGAGAGAGAGAGAGAGAGACUCAGGUCAGAGAC